UACGUAGGGGGGCUAGCGUUGUCCGGAAUCAUUGGGCGUAAAGAGCGUGUAGGCGGCUCGGUAAGUCCGCUGUGAAAGUCCAGGGCUCAACCCUGGAAUGCCAGUGGAAACUGUCGAGCUAGAGUCCGGAAGAGGCGAGUGGAAUUCCUGGUGUAGCGGUGAAAAUGCGCAGAUAUCAGGAGGAACACCAAUGGCGAAGGCAGCUCGCUGGGACGGUACUGACGCUGAGACGCGAAAGCGUGGGGAGCAAACAGG
rnacentral:rRNA from 1 species